CAGCAGCCACGGGAAUACGAGGGGGGCAAGCGUUGUUCGGAAUUAUUGGGCGUAAAGGGUGCGUAGGCGGUUUGGCAAGUUUGGUGUGAAAUCUUCGGGCUCAACUCUAAGUCUGCAUCGAAAACUGCCGGGCUUGAGUAUGGGAGAGGUGAGUGGAAUUUCCGGUGUAGCGGUGAAAUGCGUAGAUAUCGGAAGGAACACCUGUGGCGAAAGCGGCUCACUGGACCAUAACUGACGCUGAUGCACGAAAGCUAGGGGAGCAAACAGGAUUAGAUACCCCUGUAGUCCCUGUCUCUUAUAA
rnacentral:rRNA from 1 species